GGGAUUACGGGCAUGAGCCACUGUGCGCAAUCUGAUUUUAGAUUUCAAACAGUAUAGGAUAAAAUUGAGAGAACCAUUUGGCAAUAAAAAAUAUUAAAACUGAGUUUUGCAGAGAAGGGCAUGAUCUAUAUAUCUACUAUUAAAAACCAUUCAACUGAAUAUAUUUCCAUGGCCAUCACACCAUUAUUAAAACCUCUGAAAAGACUAACAUGUACCAGAGUAAAGAUCCACAUAAGACAUGUGUAUUAGGGUUCUCCACAGAGACAGAAACAAUAGGAUAUAUGUAUAUAUAAACCAGAGUUUAUUAAGAAUUGGCUCACACAAUUAGAAGGUGAAGUCCCAUGAUGACUGUCUGCAAGCUGGAGGAGAGAAGCCAGUUGUGUGUCUCAGUCCAAGUCCAAAACCCUUAAAACCAGGGAAGCUGACAACGCAGCCCUGAGUCUGAGGCCAAAGGCUUAAGACCCACUGAGUGGCCACCAGUGCAAGUCCCAGAGUCCAAAGGCUGAAGAGCCUGGAGUCUGAUGUCCAAGGGCAGCAGGAAAGGAAGCGAGCAUCUGGCAUGGGAAGAAGAAAGAUUCAGAAGACUAAGCAAGCAAACGAAUCCCACCUUCCUUUGCCUACUUUGUUCUAGUCAUGCUGGCAGCAAACUGGAUGGUACCACUCACACUGAGGGUGGGUCUAUUUCUCCCAGUCUACUGACUCAAAUGUCAAUCUCCUCUGGCAACACCCUCACAGACACACCCAGAAAAAUACUCUUCCAGCCAUCUAGGCAUCCUUCAGUUCAAUCAAGUUGAUGCCUAAUAUUAUCCAUUACAAUAUGUCUUGAAGGGAACCAUGAAUGUGGCUGUUGGCACCUGGAAUUUUCUGAAAUCCAAUGCUAAGAAGUAGAUUAAGUUGUUGUAAGAGAUGUACCUCCAAAGGAAUCACCAGACUGAAUUAAAAGAGAUUCCAAGUAUUAAAGACUUAAAAGAACCCUUGGAUCACCAAACAUUUAGGGUUGGAAGUGGUCUGAGAAAGCUGUAUGGACAUCAAGCAAAAUGUAUUCCCCGAUGCCUACUUUAGAUGUGUCAGAUAGUAUGAUGGAAAAGAAAGCUGGGGCCAUGGAGAAUUAUGGAGAAUGAGGCUUCUUGCACAGAGCGUAUUUAAGGGCUGAGCUGACAUCCUCAGACCUAGGGUAGACCUCCCAAUAUCGGUUCAAGCUAUUUCAGAGUUGCUAAAGGCCAGUGUCUGCUGUAUAUCUCUCAUUUUUCCUCUUUCCAAAGAGGAAUGUUUGUUGGAGUCAUCUGUUCCCUGUUUCAUCUUUGUAAGUUAGGUGUGUGUGGGGUAGGUAACUUGUCUUUUUACUGCAUAACUCUCCAGAACAAGAGGAGCCACACCCAGGCCCAGUUUAGUGACUGGGUAUCACCUGAACAGGCUGAAUUGUGUCCCCCCAAAUUCAUAUGUUGGAGCCCUAACCUCCAGUGCAUUUGGAGACAGGGCCUUUAGGAGGUCAUUAAGAUGAAGUCAAGUCAUAAGUGGGGGGGCCCUGAUCCAAUAGGACUGGUGUCUUUAUAAGAAGAGGAAGAGACAUCAGUAAUGCAUGCACACAGAAAAAUAAGCCAUGUGAGGACAUGGUGAGAAGACGGCCAUCUGCAAGCUAAGAAGAGCGGACCCAGGAGAAACCAAACCUGAAGAUACCUUGAUCUUGGACUUCCACCCUCCAAAAUUUUGAGAAAGUUUUAUUAAGCUUCUCGGUCUGUGGUAUUUUGUUAUGGGGGCCCUAGCAAACUAACAUGCUCCUGAUGAAGAUAGUACCAUGCAUUACCCAGAGGUACUUGAUCCGUGACUGAAUGAGACUUUUGAGUUGUCUCUCCUGGGGAGAGAAUAAAUGAAUUUUGCUCAAGAAAGAAACACUGAACUGAUCAUUUGGUGACUGGAGAGGUGGAUUGUAGCUACAUGAGGACUCCAGACAUUCACCAAUAUUCCAGCAUGGCAGGAUUAUACUUCCAUGUCCCCUUGGAUGUAGGAAUGGUCAUGUGGCUCACGUGGCCAAUUAAAUGUAAGCAGAAAUGACAGGUGUUUCUUCUAGGCAGAAUCAAUCCCUUAAGAGCUAAAGUACAAUUUGCCGUGUUCCCUUCCUCCUGUCACUGCAAUCUGUGACAUUCCAGAUGGUAGAGUGUGAGCCAGCCUGUGUUCCUGAAUGCAGAUGACAUGGAGCAGAGUUCCAGCCAAUCUGCAAUAGUUGUGGGCAUGGGUGAGAAAUAAUGUUUAAAGUUAAUGAAUUUUUGGAAUUGUUUAUUACUGUGGCAUAAUCUAGUCUAUUUUGACUGAUCUAAUCAAUAUUAACGGUAGGGAAAAUUUCCAAAAUCCUCAUAGAAUUCAGUUGUAUGGUGUGAUCAAUUAAUUCAAUGUAUUGGGUUUUGUCCUUCAGUAAAUAAAGAAGUAGAGCUGACAUCC
rnacentral:lncRNA from 10 species